UAUUUUUUUGCUCCUCUUGGUUCCUGUACAAUUUUGGGGUGGAACAAUUUUGUUCUAUCAUUCCUUUUUUUUUGAAAAAUGAUGAUGAAAAAUGUAGGACCCACAUGUCUGAAAAUGGAACAAAAAUACGUUGUAAAUGGUAAAAAAACUAAGGAACAAAGAAGAACACCACUUUCCUACUCAUUCUUUUCCUCAAAAGUGGUUAUCAAUCGGAACCUAUGAUAUAUAUGUUUUUAUAUAAUUCAC
rnacentral:sRNA from 1 species